GGUAGCUUAGUGGUUGGAGUAUCAGCCUUUGACUCUAACGUACUGGGUUCGAAUCCCGUCAGUAGCA